GACGAACGCUGGCGGCGUGCUUAACACAUGCAAGUCGAACGAAGUGGCGAACGGGUGAGUAACGCGUAAUCAACCUGCCCUUCAGAGGGGGACAACAGUUGGAAACGACUGCUAAUACCGCAUACUGAAGGAGUGGAUUGCGUCUGAUUUGGUAGUUGGAGGGGUAACGGCCCACCAAGGGGAGGAUCAGAAGCGGGUAUGAGAGGAUGAACGGGCACAUUGGGACUGAGAAAGGGCCCAGACUCCUAAGGGGGGCAGCAGUGGGAAAUCUUCCGGAAUGGAGGAAAGUCUGACGGAGCAACGCCGCGGGAGUGAUGACGGCGUUCGGGUUGUAAAGCUCUGUUAAUCGGGACGCGGUACCGGAAUAGAAAGCCACGGCUAACUACGUGCCAGCAGCCGCGGUAAUUC
rnacentral:rRNA from 1 species